rnacentral:rRNA from 1 species
AGUGAACGCUGGCGGUAGGCUUAACACAUGCAAGUCGAACGGCAGCACAGUAAGAGCUUGCUCUUACGGGUGGCGAGUGGCGGACGGGUGAGGAAUACAUCGGAAUCUACUUUUUCGUGGGGGAUAACGUAGGGAAACUUACGCUAAUACCGCAUACGACCUACGGGUGAAAGAAGGGGUUCUUCGGACCUUGCGCGAUUGAAUGAGCCGAUGUCGGAUUAGCUAGUUGGCGGGGUAAAGGCCCACCAAGGCGGCGAUCCGUAGCUGGUCCGUGUGGAUGGUCAGCCACGCUGGAACGGAAACGGGGUCCAGACUCCUGCGGGACGCAGCAGUGGGGGAUAUUAGACAGUAGGCGCAAGCCUUGUCCAACCAUACCACGUGGGUGAAGAAGGCGUUGGGGUUGUGAUGCCCGUUUGUUGGCAGAGAAAAGCAGCAGGUUAAUACCCCGCUGUUCUGACGGUACCCAAAGAAUAAGCACCGGCUAACUUCGUG